rnacentral:rRNA from 1 species
UACAGAGGUCCCAAGCGUUGUUCGGAUUCAUUGGGCGUAAAGGGUGCGUAGGUGGCGUCGUAAGUCGGGUGUGAAAUCUCGGGGCUUAACUCCGAAACUGCAUUCGAUACUGCGGUGCUUGAGGACUGGAGAGGAGACUGGAAUUUACGGUGUAGCAGUGAAAUGCGUAGAGAUCGUAAGGGAGACCAGUGGCGAAGGCGGGUCUCUGGACAGUUCCUGACACUGAGGCACGAAGGCCAGGGGAGCAAACGGG